UUUGCUUCACAGAUACUUGUAUAAAUCGAAUAUAUGUUUAAUUGUUAAUAUUGGUUAAACAAUAUUAAAAAAAACAUAUAAUGCCCCUGUUUACAAGAUGUAAGUCUCAGGUGUCCUCAGAAUGUGUCUGUGAAGUUUCAGCUCAAAAUACCCCACGGACCAUUUAUUAUACCAUGCUGUAAAUGUCCCUUUUUGGGUGGAAGCAAAAACACGCUGUUUUCAUGUGUGUCUCUUUAAAUGCAAAUGAGCUGCUGCUCCCCGCCCCCUUUCCAGAAGAGGGCUCUGCCUUUACAGCUCGUUCGGAUACUACAAAAACAACAAUCAGGAGAACCGGUUUGACUGACACAGCAAAUAGCAGUGUUCAGCCCUGUUUUCCAGGUUAUGAACACUACAGACCAUAAGUAGGUUCAUGUGUCAGGGAAGGAUAUGUUUGAGGCAUAUCAGUGCCUCAAGGGCACAAAAUUUCACUGCCCACUAUGUCACAAAAUAAAAUUUGAGGAGGACAUUCAGGCAAUAGGCCAUCUUCAGUCCCAUUUAUCUUGGGUGGUAGUUAGUACAUGGAAGUUAUGAUUGUAAGGGCAGACAAGGCAAGCACCAGGGCAUUUACUCCGAAGCAUUUUACCCAGGAUUUUGCAGUUUGUCAUGCAUGCAAUCCAAUUGUGCUAAUGAAUAGUGUGAUUGUAAAUAUAUGUCAAAUUUAGUUUUUAUUUCUGAGUUACUUGUACAUAGUUUGUAGUAGAUUUUGUUGCUUGAGCAAUAAAAUUGCUUGAGU